rnacentral:rRNA from 1 species
AGCGAACGCUGGCGGCAGGCCUAACACAUGCAAGUCGAGCGCCCCGCAAGGGGAGCGGCAGACGGGAGAGUAACACGUGGGAACGUACCCUUCAGUUCGGAACAACCCAGGGAAACUUGGGCUAUACCGGAUACGUCCGUAAGGAGAAAGAUUUAUCGCUGAAGGAUCGGCCCGCGUCCGAUUAGCUAGUUGGUGAGGUAACGGCUCACCAAGGCGACGAUCGGUAGCUGGUCUGAGAGGAUGAUCAGCCUCACUGGGACUGAGACACGGCCCAGACUCCUACGGGAGGCAGCAGUGGGGAAUAUUGGACAAUGGGCGCAAGCCUGAUCCAGCCAUGCCGCGUGGAUGAUGAAGGCCCUAGGGUUGUAAAGUCCUUUCGGCGGGGAAGAUAAUGACGGUACCCGCAGAAGAAGCCCCGGCUAACUUCGUGCCAGCCGCCGCCGUAAUAC